GCAAACCCCGAGUCUCUCGGGGGUCUGGAAUCUGAGUCCUCCCCUGCUAUCAGCAGCUGCACAGGGGCCAUGCUGACGUGUAGUCCAGUGCUCUAUCCAUUUUGCCACUUAACUACAAAGUUGUGUGAGAAGUUGGGGAACAGAGUUAACCUGGAAGAAGAGAAGAAAAAAGACUUAGAAUGUGAAGAAACGAGGGGAGAUAAAGGAUCCCACACACCGAACGGAGUCAUUAAGAGCCAGACAUGACUGAACAAUAACAGGUCGAGAAACCUCUAGUCCUGCUGCUGGAAUGGGGUAAAUAGAAGGGAAUGGCUUGGCUUGAAACCUUUGAGAGACAUCUUUGCUCCAG
rnacentral:lncRNA from 1 species